rnacentral:snRNA from 1 species
UUGCUUCAGCAGCACAUAUACUAAAAUUGGAACGAUAUACAGAAGAUUAGCAUGGCCCCUCAGCAAGCAAAUCAGAUCCCUUAUGAUUAU